GUGAACGCUGGCGGUAGGCCUAACACAUGCCAGUCGAACGGCAGCACAGUAAGAGCUUGCUCUUACGGGUGGCGAGUGGCGUACGGGUGAGGAAUACAUCGGAAUCUACUUUUUCGUGGGGGAUAACGUAGGGAAACUUACGCUAAUACCGCAUACGACCUACGGGUGAAAGCAGGGGAUCUUCGGACCUUGCGCGAUUGAAUGAGCCGAUGUCGGAUUAGCUAGUUGGCGGGGUAAAGGCCCACCAAGGCGACGAUCCGUAGCUGGUCUGAGAGGAUGAUCAGCCACACUGGAACUGAGACACGGUCCAGACUCCUACGGGAGGCAGCAGUGGGGAAUAUUGGACAAUGGGCGCAAGCCUGAUCCAGCCAUACCGCGUGGGUGAAGAAGGCCUUCGGGUUGUAAAGCCCUUUUGUUGGGAAAGAAAAGCAGCAGGUUAAUACCCCGCUGUUCUGACGGUACCCAAAGAAUAAGCACCGGCUAACUUCGUG
rnacentral:rRNA from 1 species